rfam:Triticum aestivum genome assembly, contig: Triticum_aestivum_CS42_TGACv1_scaffold_210841_3AS
UAUGUACUCCCUCUGUUUCAAAUUACUUGUCAUAGAAAUGGAUGUAUCUAGAACUAAAAAUACAUCUAGAUACAUUCAUAUUAGUGACAAGUAAUUCCGGACGGAUGGAGUACCUA